rnacentral:rRNA from 1 species
UACGGGGGGGCAAGCGUUGUUCGGAAUUACUGGGCGUAAAGGGCUCGUAGGCGGCCAACUAAGUCAGACGUGAAAUCCCCAGGCUCAACCUGGGAACUGCGUCUGAUACUGGAUGGCUUGAAUCCGGGAGAGGGAUGCAGAAUUCCAGGUGUAGCGGUGAAAUGCGCAGAUAUCAGGAGGAACACCGGUGGCGAAGGCGGGUCUCUGGGCCGAUACUGACGCUGAGGAGCGAAAGCGUGGGGAGCGAACAGG